rnacentral:lncRNA from 1 species
AAAAAAUAUAUUAAUUAAGGAAAAUGAGUAAAAUAUUAAUGAAUAAACUGAGUAGCAGUAGCCUAGAGGCCCCAAAGAUGGGAAAUUAUGAAAGGGCCAUCGGUCCAUAAUCUUUUUCCAAAAGCCCAUUGACAAAUUAAAGGUAAAAAUUUAUUCUCACGCAUGGCAAUUCAUAACCUAGCAUUGGAAUUGCUAUAUUGCCGUGUAUCUUCUUCUCCUUUAAAGGGGGAAAAAGGAA